GACGUUGAUAUUCAACGUCAUAAACAUUCAACUUACAUGUUUAUGACGUUGAUAUUCGACGUCAUAAACAUUCAACUUAGAUCUUUAUUCAACGUCAUAAACAUUCAACUUAGAUGUUUAUGACGUUGAUAUUCGACGUCGAUAUUCGACGUCAUAAACAACAUCAAGUUUGGUGUUUAUGACGUCGAUACUCGACGUCAUAAACACCAUCAAGUUUGGUGUUUAUGACGUCGAUAUUCGACGUC